AUCCCAUAGUGAGGGCAUUCUAAUAUGUAAUCUUGAAAGUGUUCCAAUGCCUUAGGGAUAGAUUCAUCAUACUGCUACUAAAAAGUUGAGAUCUUUUGCAUGUAGGGC
rnacentral:snoRNA from 1 species